AUUCAACAGCAUAGUGAAUUGCUCAAAGGCAAAAAAAAAAUUUUUAAGUUCAUUAGACCACAUUCAUUCUGUGUCAGAAACCUAUGCUGUGUCAACUAUUUAAUUUUAGAUUUAAAUAAGUUUGAAGAAGAAAUCUUUAAUUGAUUUGUAAAAUCUUGACAUUUGUUUUGUGUAAAAAAAACCAUGUAAUGUCAAAAAUUUGAUCACAAUCCAAAUUCAGAGCUGUAUCACGCUUGAAUGUUUUGUCCAUACUUGCCCCAACUGUUCAGGGUUCGACCUCUGCGGUCGUAUAAAGCUGCGCCCUGCGGAGCACCUGGUUGGUUAUUAUCUUGAAUAUUAUUAUAGAUAGAGAUAAACUGUAAACAGC
rnacentral:lncRNA from 1 species